AAUAAGUGUUGAAGUGAAGUUCUUUAGUGAAACUUAAAACUGUUUGAAGAAUAAAAUAUAUUUCUGGAUAAGUGCUGUUUUGCAUUGUUCUACAUAAAUAAUAUACAACUGCAAUGGAGAAGUGUACAGUAUUUGUUGCGAAGGCGAGAUUGCGGAGCUAUAAUAUGUCACGUCGACUGAAAUAAUUGCUAGCGCACCGUUCAAGCUGUUUUGAUGUGAACAAAGAAAAUAAAAUCUGCUCUUCAUCGUCGUGGGCAGUUUUCGGGCGUUUUUGCAUUUGAGGAAAUUGGGGCAACACGAAAGCAGCGGCCAAGUUUUUCAACAUUUGGCUAGAAAAAUUGCACUGUAGGCGGCUGAGGCAGAUGCCAGGAGUUUGCGAUAAAUUGAUGAGGCAGGAAAGACUAGCCAGAUCCCGGAGUGUAUGUUGUCCUGACCUGGACUUAAGGAGUUUGGAGUUAGGAAGCCAGGUAUAAACCGAAACGGCGAAACCAGCUUCGUACCUUAUUAUACUUGGGCGUUGAAAGUUGAUACGCGAUCGAACGAUGUUAACUUGAACGCAAUACGUGAGAAAAGGCCUUACAAUUAGCUAAAAAUGCUGAUUGUUCGGUCCCAUGUAGCCGUGAGAGUAUAUCUAAACUGCGACUAAAUGUGUGUGUGUCGCGGCCUACACAGGGGUACUAAUCGUCGUUUUUAUCAGAUUGUGAUUGCGUGGAUUGAAUAUAUAUAGGAACCUGUAUCGACUUCUCUGCUCUACUAAGACUUGUUCAAAAGAAAGGCGCCCAGUUACAUAUGUACUAUAUAAACGGUCGUCUCUUAUUUACCUACCAUCGAACCGUUAUCUCAAUACUGAUCAAAUAGAUACAACACUACUGACAACGAUCGAUAUACACAUAUCUAGUAUCUGGAGUAGCAACCGAUUGCUCGUUCGUUUCACAAAGCACAAAUUAUAAGAUACAUCUUUCUUGUUAUUUACUUAAUAUAUUUUUUUCUUUGUUGUUAACUUAAACAUUUACAAGUACACGACAAGCGUGGCUUAAGUUCUUGAAAUACCUGAAACUGUAAAAAAAAAAAAUACAAAAAUUAUUUCUUCUGUUUUUGUACAUAUCCAAGAUUUAAGAAAACUUGUGUCCAUUUUUGUAAUUACAAUUGUCCAAUUCAGUAAUAGAAAAUGAGAAGAAAAAAAUAAUACGAAAAUGAAAAAGAAAAAGAAAAAGAGAGCUCACCAAACAGAAAAGAAGCUACAAUCAAAAAAAAGAAUAAAAGAAAUCUGAGACCAAUAAAUUUCGAAACAAUUGUU